CUUAGUUCCUUACCUAUGCUUGAACAAAGAGCAGCAGACAACAUGUAUGUUAGUGUUUCAAUUUCAAAUGAUGGAAUUUUAUAUCAUUAAUAGUGGUAACUAAUGAUAAGUAACUUUUAGUUCUGCUAAAAUUAUUUUUCUUUUUUGAAUUUCCUCAAAAUGGAAUAGUAAUGAUUUUAAGCUAAAUAAUGAGUUCUCUUUUUGUGUCGCUGGGUAAUAGAAGGAAUAAGAAGCAAGUUUUAUAUAUUAUAUGGAAUACUUCUUUUAAAUAGCUAUUGAGUUAUGACGUGUAGUUUCUUCUUCGUGUGUAUGUUGUUCUUAUGCUAUUUAAGAUGGUGACUAUUUAGUUUACUAUCAUGCGGUUAAUUCUUCGAAAUUCUUGGUCACUUGCUUAGAUAGAGACAAAUAGUGUAUUCUUUAUUUAUUUUUGUGCUGAGAUCUUCAUUUAUAUGCAGAACCAAACAUGUAGGUAGCCUGAAAGUACAUUUAAAACACAAAUCGCCCUAAGAUAUCCCAGUGUGUGGUUUAACCUGAACAUAUCUUAACUUGCAAAUAAGCAUGAUUUUCUUACAACUUGCUUCUCUGAUGCCCCCCUUAUUUGCCUUCUUAAUCGGUAUACUUGGAGUCCACAUCCAAGAUAAAAGCAUCUUGCUCUGUUCACUCAGGUUCUCAGGAGUAUCUCACAAAUGAGUCAUCAUAGGUGAGAGAUGUCUCAUCCAGCCGGACGAUAUUAUUGACUAUUUAAUAGCAGCUGACCAACAGUUUUGGUAAUUAGAGAAGAAGACAAUUCCACAGAAGCAAAGCCAGUUCAUUGGUAGGGAGCUAAAUUAGCAGGCAUGCUACCUGUACUAAAUACAUGUUGUGCUUCCUGUCCCUUCUGUCCUUCUAUAUAUUGAACUCAUUGGCAUAUGAUGUAACCUGUUAAUAUUCUUAAUGAAAUCACCCGUAAUGGGCAUUUUUCUUAAAGAAAAGAUUACAGUAUACCAUGACUAAGGUUUCAUACAGGAUUGUGUCUCCCUUGGUGUUAUUUGCAACAGCUGAGUAGCUCCGGAGAGUGUCAACGUAUGUGCCCAAACUCAAUAGAACGAGCACUAACGAUAGCAGAACUUGAAAAAUCCAGGAGAUGGCUGCUCUCACCAUAUAGUUCAAAGGAUUCCUAGAUCAAAAUUUCUGGGCUGGGACAAGAAAAUGAACAUGCUUCAGUCUCCAGAAUGUAAUAGAUUCAAUAAGGACUGAUUGCAUGGUUUGGGAGAAACUUGGUGCGUUCAGUUCAAUAUAAGGAAAAGCAUGAGAAGGUUGCCUUCACGUAUCGACGAGGCGCGGCGUGCCGCCGCGCGGGUACAUGCUAGUCAUAUGCUAAUACAAUUGUAUUGAAAUGUGUCUUCCUAAUGGAUGGUGGAUACAAUUCUAGACCAAAUAGUGCAAUACUUUUGCGUACUUGCCAUAACUUACCCAUGGUAAUGCCUUAAAUAUAUGUGAUGGUAGGGAGACAAGGAGCAAUUUUUACUGUACUGACUCGAGUACAUCAAGAAUGAAGAUGCACCCAAGAUUUAUGUACGAGAAGUUUUAAACAUAAUAGUAGUCACAGCGUGUGUUGCA